GUCGUGCGCGAAACCUCUUCGGAGGCCAGUAGAGCGGCGCACGGGUGAGUAACACGUGAGUAACCUACCUUCAGGUUGAGGAUAACCGCGCGAAAGUGUGGCUAAUACUGAAUAAGGUCUCUUCUUUGUCGAUUGAAGAGAGCAAAGGGGGCUUCGGCUCUCGCCAGAAGAUGGGCUCGCGGUCCAUUAGCUAGUUGGUGGGGUAAUGGCCCACAAAGGCGAAGAUGGAUAGCUGGUCUGAGAGGAUGAUCAGCCACACUGGGACUGAGACACGGCCCAGACUCCUACGGGAGGCAGCAGUGGGGAAUCUUGCGCAAUGGACGAAAGUCUGACGCAGCAACGCCGCGUGGGUGACGAAGGCCCUUGGGUCGUAAAGCCCUGUCAGAAGGGAAGAACAACUGGGUGGUUAAUACCUGCCCAGUCUGACGGUACCUUCAAAGGAAGCCCCGGCUAACUUCGUGCCAGCAGCCGCGGUAAUACGAAGGGGGCUAACGUUGUUCGGAUUUACUGGGCGUAAAGCGUACGUAGGCGGAUUAGUAAGUUAGGGGUGAAAUCCCGAGGCUCAACCUCGGAACUGCCUUUAAUACUGCUAAUCUAGAGAUCGGGAGAGGUGUAUGGAACU
rnacentral:rRNA from 1 species